UCAUAACGGGCUGAACCAGGUACUUUGAGGCUGAAUACAUAGGCUUCAAAGAGCGAACCCGGGGAACUGAAACAUCUAAGUACCCGGAGGAAAGGAAAUCAACAGAUACUCCCCUAGUAGUGGCGAGCGAACGGGGACCAGCCGAGCCGUGAGAGUGAGAAGAACCGGAUGGAAAGCCGGACCAGAGCGGGUGACAGUCCCGUAUUCGAAGCUCGAUCGGACGUAUCAAGUAGGGCGGGACACGUGAAAUCCUGUCUGAAGAUCGGGGGACCACCCUCGAAGGCUAAGUACUCCUUGCUGACCGAUAGCGAACCAGUACCGUGAGGGAAAGGUGAAAAGCACCCCGACGAGGGGAGUGAAACAGUACCUGAAACCGAACGCCUACAAGCAGUCGGAGGGGCCUCGAGCCCUGACGGCGUACCUUUUGUAUAAUGGGUCAUCGACUUGGUCUCACGAGCAAGCUUAAGCCGGUAGGUGUAGGCGCAGCGAAAGCGAGUCUGAAUAGGGCGUCGAGUUCGUGGGAUCAGACCCGAAACCGAGUGAUCUAGGCAUGUCCAGGAUGAAGGUUGGGUAACACCAACUGGAGGUCCGAACCCACACCUGUUGAAAAAGGUCGGGAUGAGGUGUGCCUAGGGGUGAAAGGCCAAUCAAACUCGGAGAUAGCUGGUUCUCCGCGAAAUCUAUUUAGGUAGAGCGUCAUCCGAAUACCCCGGGGGGUAGAGCACUGGAUGGGUAAUGGGGCCCCACAGGCUUACUGAUCCUAACCAAACUCCGAAUACCCGGGAGUACUGGAUGGCAGACACACGGCGGGUGCUAACGCCCGUCGUGGAGAGGGAAACAACCCUGACCUACAGCUAAGGCCCCCAAUUCGUGGCUAAGUGGGAAAGCAUGUGAGACGGCCAAAACAACCAGGAGGUUGGCUUAGAAGCAGCCAUCCUUUAAAGAUAGCGUAACAGCUCACUGGUCUAAUCAAGCUGUCUUGCGGCGAAGAUGUAACGGGGCUCAAGCCACGAGCCGAAGCUUAGGACUGCAUAUGCAGUGGUAGCGGAGCGUAGUGUGACAUAGCGCUCAAGCAGCGAAGCGGUAGCGCAGGAUAGAGUGUUUUCUGUGAAGCCGGCGCGUGAGCGAUCCGGUGGAGAGAUCACUAGCGAGAAUGAUGACAUGAGUAGCGACAAACAGGGUGAGAGACCCUGUCGCCGAAAGUCCAAGGGUUCCUGCUUAAAGCUAAUCUGAGCAGGGUAAGCCGGCCCCUAAGGCGAGGCCGAAAGGCGUAGCCGAUGGGAACCAGGUCAAUAUUCCUGGGCCAGGAGGAUGUGACGGAUCGCAGGUGUUGUCGGACCUUAUCGGAUUGGUUCGGCAGCUGAGCGGUCCCUGGAAAUAGCCCUCCAUCAGACCGUACCCGAAACCGACACAGGUGGACUGGUAGAGAAUACCAAGGCGCUUGAGAGAACGAUGUUGAAGGAACUCGGCAAAAUACCUCCGUAAGUUCGCGAGAAGGAGGCCCAGUUUCUA
rnacentral:rRNA from 1 species